rnacentral:rRNA from 1 species
UGAGCUGCGGCGGCCUACCAUGCUAGUCGAGCGGAUGAAGAGAGCUUGCUCUCUGAUUCAGCGGCGGACGGGUGAGUAAUGCCUAGGAAUCUGCCUGGUAGUGGGGGACAACGUCUCGAAAGGGACGCUAAUACCGCAUACGUCCUACGGGAGAAAGCAGGGGACCUUCGGGCCUUGCGCUAUCAGAUGAGCCUAGGUCGGAUUAGCUAGUUGGUGAGGUAAUGGCUCACCAAGGCGACGAUCCGUAACUGGUCUGAGAGGAUGAUCAGUCACACUGGAACUGAGACACGGUCCAGACUCCUACAGGAGGCAGCAGUGGGGAAUAUUGGACAAUGGGCGAAAGCCUGAUCCAGCCAUGCCGCGUGUGUGAAGAAUGUCUUCGGAUUGUAAAGCACUUUAAGUUGGGAGGAAGGGCAGUAAGCGAAUACCUUGCUGUUUUGACGUUACCCACAGAAUAAGCACCGGCUAACUCUGUGCCAGCAGCCGCGGUAAU